rnacentral:rRNA from 1 species
ACGCUCGACACCUACGUGAGGCAGCAGUAGGGAAUCUUCCACAAUGGACGCAAGUCUGAUGGAGCAACGCCGCGUGAGUGAAGAAGGUUUUCGGAUCGUAAAGCUCUGUUGUUGGGGAAAAAGAGGAUGGUACCCAACAAGGAAGUGACGGCUAACUACGUGCCCGCAGCCGCGGUAAUCUGAGCGGGCUGGCAAGGC